GACGAACGCUGGCGGCGUGCUUAACACAUGCAAGUCGAGCGGUAAGGCCCUUUCGGGGGUACACGAGCGGCGAACGGGUGAGUAACACGUGGGUGACCUGCCUUCAGCUCUGGGAUAAGCCUGGGAAACUGGGUCUAAUACCGGAUAUGACUCCAUGAUGCAUGUUGUGGGGUGGAAAGCUUUUGCGGCUGGAGAUGGGCCCGCGGCCUAUCAGCUUGUUGGUGGGGUGANGGCCUACCAAGGCGACGACGGGUAGCCGGCCUGAGAGGGCGACCGGCCACACUGGGACUGAGACACGGCCCAGACUCCUACGGGAGGCGGCAGUGGGGAAUCUUGCGCAAUGGGCGAAAGCCUGACGCAGCGACGCCGCGUGAGGGAUGACGGCCU
rnacentral:rRNA from 1 species